rnacentral:rRNA from 1 species
GAUGAACGCUGGCGGCGUGCCUAAUACAUGCAAGUCGAGCGAACAGAUGAGAAGCUUGCUUCUCUGAUGUUAGCGGCGGACGGGUGAGUAACACGUGGGUAACCUACCUAUAAGACUGGGAUAACUCCGGGAAACCGGGGCUAAUACCGGAUAAUAUUUUGAACCGCAUGGUUCAAUAGUGAAAGACGGCUUCGGCUGUCACUUAUAGAUGGACCCGCGCCGUAUUAGCUAGUUGGUAAGGUAACGGUUUACCAAGGCGACGAUACGUAGCCGACCUGAGAGGGUGAUCGGCCACACUGGAACUGAGACACGGUCCAGACUCCUACGGGAGGCAGCAGUAGGGAAUCUUCCGCAAUGGGCGAAAGCCUGACGGAGCAACGCCGCGUGAGUGAUGAAGGUCUUCGGAUCGUAAAACUCUGUUGUUAGGGAAGAACAAAUUUGUUAGUAACUGAACAAGUCUUGACGGUACCUAACCAGAAAGCCACGGCUAACUACGUGCCAGCCGCCGCAGUAA